rnacentral:ncRNA from 1 species
AAAGGUUUGGUCCUGGCCUUAUAAUUAGUUGAAGGUAAGAUUACACAUGCAAAUAUCCAUAAACCGGUGUAAAAUCCCUUAAAGAAUAAUUUAAAAUUUAAGGAGAGGGUAUCAAGCACAUGAAAUAUAGCUAAAGACAUCUUGCCUAGCCACACCCCCACGGGAUCCAGCAGUGAUAAAUAUUAAGCGAUGAACGAAAGUUUGACUAAGCUAUACCUACCAGGGUUGGUAAAUUUCGUGCCAGCCACCGCGGUCAUACGAUUAACCCUAACUAAUUAUUUCCGGCGUAAAACGUGUUUAUUGAACCAAAAAUAAAUAGAAUUAAAAUUCAACUAAUAUGUGAAAAUUCAUCGUUAGAACUUAAAAACAAGAACGAAAGUAAUUCUAAAUUAUCAUAAAACACGAUAGCUAAGAUCCAAACUGGGAUUAGAUACCCCACUAUGCUUAGCCCUAAACUAAAAUAAUUUUUUAACAAAAUUAUUUGCCAGAGAACUACUAGCCAUGGCUUAAAACUCAAAGGACUUGGCGGUACUUUAUAUCCAUCUAGAGGAGCCUGUUCUAUAAUCGAUAUACCCCGCUUUACCUCACCAUCCCUUGCUAAUACAGCCUAUAUACCGCCAUCUUCAGCAAACCCUUAAAAGGUAUCAAAGUAAGCAAGAGAACAAUCAUAAAAACGUUAGGUCAAGGUGUAGCCAAUGAGAUGGGAAGCAAUGGGCUACAUUUUCUAUUUAAGAACAUCACGAUACCCUUUAUGAAAUUAAAGGACAAAGGAGGAUUUAGUAGUAAAUUAAGAAUAGAGAGCUUAAUUGAAUAGAGCAAUGAAGUACGCACACACCGCCCGUCACCCUCCUCAAGUUAAAUAUACUUAAAUACUUAAUUAUAAAUAAUAGUCAGUAAUAAAUUUAUUAGAGGAGAUAAGUCGUAACAAGGUAAGCAUACUGGAAAGUGUGCUUGGAACAAU